rnacentral:rRNA from 1 species
AACGCGAAGAACCUUACCUACCCUUGACAUGUCCAGAACCCUGCAGAGAUGCGGGGGUGCCCGAAAGGGAAUUGGAACACAGGUGCUGCAUGGCUGUCGUCAGCUCGUGUCGUGAGAUGUUGGGUUAAGUCCCGCAACGAGCGCAACCCUUAUCAUUAGUUGCUACGCAAGGGCACUCUAAUGAGACUGCCGGUGACAAACCGGAGGAAGGUGGGGAUGACGUCAAGUCCUCAUGGCCCUUAUGGGUAGGGCUUCACACGUCAUACAAUGGUCGGUACAGAGGGUUGCCAAGCCGCGAGGUGGAGCCAAUCCCACAAAGCCGAUCGUAGUCCGGAUUGUUCUCUGCAACUCGAGAGCAUGAAGUCGGAAUCGCUAGUAAUCGCGGAUCAGCAUGUCGCGGUGAAUACGUUCCCGGGCCUUGUACACACCG